GACGAACGCUGGCGGCGUGCUUAACACAUGCAAGUCGAACGAUGAAGCCUAGCUUGCUAGGUGGAUUAGUGGCGAACGGGUGAGUAAUACGUGAGUAACCUACCUUUAACUCUGGGAUAAGCCUGGGAAACUGGGUCUAAUACCGGAUACGACCAAUCUCCGCAUGGGGUGUUGGUGGAAAGCGUUAUGUAGUGGUUAUAGAUGGGCUCACGGCCUAUCAGCUUGUUGGUGAGGUAACGGCUCACCAAGGCGACGACGGGUAGCCGGCCUGAGAGGGUGACCGGCCACACUGGGACUGAGACACGGCCCAGACUCCUACGGGAGGCAGCAGUGGGGAAUAUUGCACAAUGGGCGCAAGCCUGAUGCAGCGACGCCGCGUGAGGGAUGACGGCCUUCGGGUUGUAAACCUCUGUUAGCAGGGAAGAAGAGAGAUUGACGGUACCUGCAGAGAAAGCGCCGGCUAACUACGUGCCAGCAGCCGCGGUAAUACGUAGGGCGCGAGCGUUGUCCGGAAUUAUUUGGGCGUAAAGAGCUUGUAGGCGGUUUGUCGCGUCUGCUGUGAAAGGCCGGAGCUUAACUCCGUGCAUUGCAGUGGGUACGGGCAGACUAGAGUGCAGUAGGGGAGACUGGAAUUCCUGGUGUAGCGGUGGAAUGCGCAGAUAUCAGGAGGAACACCGAUGGCGAAGGCAGGUCUCUGGGCUGUAACUGACGCUGAGAAGCGAAAGCAUGGGGAGCGAACAGGAUUAGAUACCCUGGUAGUCCAUGCCGUAAACGUUGGGCACUAGGUGUGGGGAACAUUCCACGUUUUCCGCGCCGUAGCUAACGCAUUAAGUGCCCCGCCUGGGGAGUACGGCCGCAAGGCUAAAACUCAAAGAAAUUGACGGGGGCCCGCACAAGCGGCGGAGCAUGCGGAUUAAUUCGAUGCAACGCGAAGAACCUUACCAAGGCUUGACAUAUACUGGACCGCAUCAGAGAUGGUGUUUCCCUUCGGGGCUGGUAUACAGGUGGUGCAUGGUUGUCGUCAGCUCGUGUCGUGAGAUGUUGGGUUAAGUCCCGCAACGAGCGCAACCCUCGUUCUGUGUUGCCAGCACGUUAUGGUGGGGACUCAUAGGAGACUGCCGGGGUCAACUCGGAGGAAGGUGGGGAUGACGUCAAAUCAUCAUGCCCCUUAUGUCUUGGGCUUCACGCAUGCUACAAUGGCCGGUACAGAGGGUUGCGAUACUGUGAGGUGGAGCUAAUCCCUAAAAGCCGGUCUCAGUUCGGAUUGGGGUCUGCAACUCGACCCCAUGAAGUCGGAGUCGCUAGUAAUCGCAGAUCAGCAACGCUGCGGUGAAUACGUUCCCGGGCCU
rnacentral:rRNA from 1 species